GCCCUGGUGGCACAGUGGUUAAAUGCCUGUACUGCAGUCACAAGGUCGUGAGUUCAAUCCCAGCCAGGGUC
rnacentral:tRNA from 1 species